rnacentral:snRNA from 1 species
GAAGGAUGUUCUGACAAUCAA